GACGAACGCUGGCGGCGUGCUUAACACAUGCAAGUCGAACGGAAAGGCCCUGCUUUUGUGGGGUGCUCGAGUGGCGAACGGGUGAGUAACACGUGAGUAACCUGCCCUUUACUUUGGGAUAACUUCAGGAACCUGGGGCUAAUACCGGAUAGGAGCUCCUGCUGCAUGGUGGGGGUUGGAAAGUUUCGGCGGUUGGGGAUGGACUCGCGGCUUAUCAGCUUGUUGGUGGGGUAGUGGCUUACCAAGGCUUUGACGGGUAGCCGGCCUGAGAGGGUGACCGGCCACAUUGGGAAUGAGAUACGGCCCAGACUCCUACGGGAGGCAGCAGUGGGGAAUAUUGCACAAUGGGCGGAAGCCUGAUGCAGCAACGCCGCGUGCGGGAUGACGGCCUUCGGGUUGUAAACCGCUUUCGCCUGUGACGAAGCGUGAGUGACGGUAAUGGGUAAAGAAGCACCGGCUAACUACGUG
rnacentral:rRNA from 1 species